CUGGGAGGACCAUCUCCUAAGGCUAAAUACUCUCUAGUGACCGAUAGUGAACCAGUACCGUGAGGGAAAGGUGAAAAGCACCCCGGAAGGGGAGUGAAAUAGAACCUGAAACCGUGUGCUUACAAGUAGUCAGAGCCCGUUAAUGGGUGAUGGCGUGCCUUUUGUAGAAUGAACCGGCGAGUUACGAUUUGAUGCAAGGUUAAGCAGUAAAUGUGGAGCCGUAGCGAAAGCGAGUCUGAAUAGGGCGUUUAGUAUUUGGUCGUAGACCCGAAACCAGGUGAUCUACCCUUGGUCAGGUUGAAGUUCAGGUAACACUGAAUGGAGGACCGAACCGACUUACGUUGAAAAGUGAGCGGAUGAACUGAGGGUAGCGGAGAAAUUCCAAUCGAACCUGGAGAUAGCUGGUUCUCUCCGAAAUAGCUUUAGGGCUAGCCUCAAGUGAUGAUUAUUGGAGGUAGAGCACUGUUUGGACGAGGGGCCCCUCUCGGGUUACCGAAUUCAGACAAACUCCGAAUGCCAAUUAAUUUAACUUGGGAGUCAGAACAUGGGUGAUAAGGUCCGUGUUCGAAAGGGAAACAGCCCAGACCACCAGCUAAGGUCCCAAAAUAUAUGUUAAGUGGAAAAGGAUGUGGCGUUGCCCAGACAACUAGGAUGUUGGCUUAGAAGCAGCCAUCAUUUAAAGAGUGCGUAAUAGCUCACUAGUCGAGUGACACUGCGCCGAAAAUGUACCGGGGCUAAACAUAUUACCGAAGCUGUGGAUUGUCCUUUGGACAAUGGUAGGAGAGCGUUCUAAGGGCGUUGAAGCAUGAUCGUAAGGACAUGUGGAGCGCUUAGAAGUGAGAAUGCCGGUGUGAGUAGCGAAAGACGGGUGAGAAUCCCGUCCACCGAUUGACUAAGG
rnacentral:rRNA from 1 species